AAGUCGUCAAAACGGAUCCGUAACCUUGGGAUACGUAUUGGCUCUGAGGACUGAGCCGGUCGGGCUGGGGACCUGAAGCAGGAACGGCACUGCACCGGGACUGGACGGGGCUCGGCGUUCACGCGGCGCGGCCAAGUCCGGAGCAGCGUCGGGACUUUCCUGUGGAAAGCCUCAGCUGCGCGGCGGCGUCUGAGGGCUUCGUGCCCGAAGUGCUAUGCUUCGGCCGGAAAAAAAAAAGCAGCCAACUUAGAACUGGCACGGACCGGGGGAAUGUGACUGUCUAAUUAAAACACGGAGUCGAAAUUGACGGCACGUGACUUGAUCACCAAUUCAGUUCCCGCGCUUAAUGUAGAGGAGAAAGUGACGUCAUUUCACCUG
rnacentral:rRNA from 1 species